AUUGAACGCUGGCGGCAGGCUUAACACAUGCAAGUCGAGCGGAGAUGAGGUGCUUGCACCUUAUCUUAGCGGCGGACGGGUGAGUAAUGCUUAGGAAUCUGCCUAUUAGUGGGGGACAACAUUCCGAAAGGAAUGCUGAUACCGCAUACGUCCUACGGGAGAAAGCAGGGGAUCUUCGGACCUUGCGCUAAUAGAUGAGCCUAAGUCGGAUUAGCUAGUUGGUGGGGUAAAGGCCUACCAAGGCGACGAUCUGUAGCGGGUCUGAGAGGAUGAUCCGCCACACUGGGACUGAGACACGGCCCAGACUCCUACGGGAGGCAGCAGUGGGGAAUAUUGGACAAUGGGGGGGACCCUGAUCCAGCCAUGCCGCGUGUGUGAAGAAGGCCUUAUGGUUGUAAAGCACUUUAAGCGAGGAGGAGGCUUACCUAGUUAAUACCUGGGAUAAGUGGACGUUACUCGCAGAAUAAGCACCGGCUAACUCUGUGCCAGCCGCCGCGGUAA
rnacentral:rRNA from 1 species